UGGGGAAUUUUGGACAAUGGGCGAAAGCCUGAUCCAGCAAUGCCGCGUGUGUGAAGAAGGCCUUCGGGUUGUAAAGCACUUUUGUCCGGAAAGAAAUCCUUGGCUCUAAUACAGUCGGGGGAUGACGGUACCGGAAGAAUAAGCACCGGCUAACUACGUGCCAGCAGCCGCGGUAAUACGUAGGGUGCAAGCGUUAAUCGGAAUUACUGGGCGUAAAGCGUGCGCAGGCGGUUUGCUAAGACCGAUGUGAAAUCCCCGGGCUCAACCUGGGAACUGCAUUGGUGACUGGCAGGCUAGAGUAUGGCAGAGGGGGUAGAAUUCCACGUGUAGCAGUGAAAUGCGUAGAGAUGUGGAGGAAUACCGAUGGCGAAGGCAGCCCCCUGGGCCAAUACUGACGCUCAUGCACGAAAGCGUGGGGAGCAAACAGGAUUAGAUACCCUGGUAGUCCACGCCCUAAACGAUGUCAACUAGUUGUGGGGAUUCAUUUCCUUAGUAACGUAGCUAACGCGUGAAGUUGACCGCCUGGGGAGUACGGUCGCAAGAUUAAAACUCAAAUGAAUUGACGGGGUCAUAGCUGUUUCCU
rnacentral:rRNA from 1 species